rnacentral:rRNA from 1 species
UAAUUGAAGAGUUUGAUCAUGGCUCAGAUUGAACGCUGGCGGCAGGCCUAACACAUGCAAGUCGGGCGGUAACAGGGGGAAGCUUGCUUCUCUGCUGACGAGCGGCGGACGGGUGAGUAAUGUAUGGGGAUCUGCCUGAUGGCGGGGGAUAACUACUGGAAACGGUAGCUAAUACCGCAUAAUGUCUUCGGACCAAAGCGGGGGACCUCCGGGCCUCGCGCCAUCAGAUGA